GGCUCGGUGGUGUAGUUGGUUAUCACGUCAGUCUAACAUGGAAAAAAUGGACACUGAAGGUCCCGAGUUCAAGCCUCGGCUGAGUCA